GAGGACCGAACCGACUAAUGUUGAAAAAUUAGCGGAUGACCUGUGGCUGGGGGUGAAAGGCCAAUCAAACCGGGAGAUAGCUGGUUCUCCCCGAAAGCUAUUUAGGUAGCGCCUCGUGAAUUCAUCUCCGGGGGUAGAGCACUGUUUCGGCUAGGGGGCCAUCCCGGCUUACCAACCCGAUGCAAACUGCGAAUACCGGAGAAUGUUAUCACGGGAGACACACGGCGGGUGCUAACGUCCGUCGUGAAGAGGGAAACAACCCAGACCGCCAGCUAAGGUCCCAAAGUCAUGGUUAAGUGGGAAACGAUGUGGGAAGGCCCAGACAGCCAGGAUGUUGGCUUAGAAGCAGCCAUCAUUUAAAGAAAGCGUAAUAGCUCACUGGUCGAGUCGGCCUGCGCGGAAGAUGUAACGGGGCUAAACCAUGCACCGAAGCUGCGGCAGCGACACUGUGUGUUG
rnacentral:rRNA from 1 species